rnacentral:lncRNA from 1 species
AAGUGUGUCCUCUUAAAGUAAUAAAGGUUUAAUUUGUAGCAAGGGAGGAAGAGUCUUACUUUAAUAGUUUAGAUUUCCAACUUUCAAUUAUUUAUUAAUUUGUGUUAUAUAACAUUAUCUUUACGCAUUCAUUUGUGUUAUAAAAGUAAUGAACAUUUCAUUACUAGGGUUCACACUAGAUGAGUCUAAAUUCCUUCGUCAUAAGAUGGAUGGCAACUAUAGAAACCUCUUUCAAUUUCUCUAUUGACUAAUCAAAAAUUUAAAAAAAAAAAAAAAAAAAAAAAAAAAGGAAGGGAAAGCAGCCCAUUCAACUUCCAAACCAACAAAAGUAAAAAUGGAGAAAAAGUGAAAAAAUAAAAUAAAAAAUGAAAAAUAAU